rnacentral:rRNA from 1 species
GAUAGGCGAAGAACUCUGGAAUGAGUCUUUGCCUAAAUAGUGCAACGUUAUCCUCGUUGCAUCGCCUAAGGAUGAGGCCGCGACCGAUCAGGUUGUUGGCGAGGUAAUGGCUCACCAAGCCUUUUACCGGUGCGGGCCGUGAGAGCGGGAGCCCGGAGAUGGGCACUGAGACAAGGGCCCAGGCCCUACGGAGCGCAGCAGUCGCGAAAACUUUGCAAUAAGCGAAAGCUUGACAGGGCUAUCCCGAGUGCCAUCCGCUGAGGAAGGCUUUUACCCAGUCUAGAACGCUGGGGGAAUAAGGAGAGGGCAAGUCUGGUGUCAGCCGCCGCGGUAAUACCAGCUCUCCGAGUGGUGUGGAUGUUUAUUGGGCCUAAAGCAUCCGUAGCUGGCUAGGUCAGUCCCUUGUUAAAUCCACCGAACUAAUCGUUGGAUUGCGGGGGAUACUGCUUGGCUAGGGGACGAGAGAGGCAGACGGUAUUUUCGGGGUAGGGGUGAAAUCCUAUAAUCCCGGGAAGACCACCAGUGGCGAAGGCUGUCUGCUAGAACGCGCCCGACGGUGAGGGAUGAAAGCUGGGGGAGCGAACCGGAUUAGAUACCCGGGUAGUCCCAGCCGUAAACGAUGCUCGCUGGGUGUCAGGCAUGGCGCGACCGUGUCUGGUGCCGCAGGGAAGCCGUGAAGCGAGCCACCUGGGAAGUACGGCCGCAAGGCU